rnacentral:rRNA from 1 species
UACGAAGGGGGCUAGCGUUGUUCGGAAUUACUGGGCGUAAAGCGCGCGCAGGCGGUCUUCCAAGUCAGUGGUCGAAGCCCGGAGCUCAACUCCGGAACUGCCAUUGAAACUGUUAGACUUGAGGACGAGAGAGGUGAGUGGAAUUCCCAGUGUAGAGGUGAAAUUCGUAGAUAUUGGGAAGAACACCGGUGGCGAAGGCGGCUCACUGGCUCGUAUCUGACGCUCAGGCGCGACAG